UCUCUCCGCCGCCGCCGCGGAGACGCAGAGACGUCACAGUCUCGUGUUCCUGGACGAGACUCUGAGGAUCUUCGGCGUCGGUGAAGAAUCCAAACGGUCCAAACGUCACAGAGAAUCAAAGAGAACAGUUGCUGCUCAUGCAGUGAGACAGGGCUCAAUCAGGAGGUUAAGUGUCUCUCUGUGAGACAGGUUGUAAAAAGACGACUGGCUCACUGUUGAAAGACACGUCGCCGCCUGGAAAGAGACGCGAGAGGAGACGGAUGGGAAAGUCACGCGGACGAGUCGAUGACAGCGCGGCCUGAGUUAUGAACGCAUGGCGAUGAAAUGGUGAAGACGAGGAUAUGGAAAAGAGGAGAGGAAGAGGAGGACCAAGAGGAGGAGGAAGAGGAGGAGAGUUACAGUAAGAAAGACAGUGAUGAGAAUUUAA